rnacentral:rRNA from 1 species
AUGACAAGCACCCAACGGUCAGAGAGCGCUAACCACAUGUUGAAGAAUUUUGUACCUGCUGGUGCCUCAAUGCACAUGUUUGUUAGGAACUACCAGAAACUUCAGUUUGACCGUGAUUCAGAAGAAAAUUUUGCUGAGAAGAAAAGCCACUUGGUGAGCAUAGUGCUCAAGACCGGUUUGCCUAUGGAGAGGCAUGCUGCGAAGGUUUACACACCUGCGCUGUUCAAACAGUUCCAAGAAGCAUGCUUCAAAUCUACAUCCUACUACGUCGAGAACACUCUGGUCAUAAACGAUACAUAUUGUGUCACACACCUUUUUGCAGAGCGGAGAGAGAGCUGGUCAAAAACAUCUUACAAUGUCAAAGUGCAUCAACCUGAGAAUAUCUUCAAAUGCGAGUGUGGAAUGUAUGAGCAUAUGGGUUUGCUCUGCUGCCAUGCGAUCCGGGUAAUGGCACACUUGAAAUUCACGAAGAUACCAGAAGAGCACAUCAUGAGGAGGUGGACUAAAAAUGCAUGUGACGAUUUACCUGAGCACUUGAAAAUAUAUAAGGGACACAACCCUAUCCUGGAAUCAACUACCUUCAGGCAUACAACACUUUACACAACAGCUCUUGAUAUUGUAAGGAUGGGUGACAGCAACCCUGAGGCCUUCGACCUUGCAAUGGUAAGGCUGUCAGAUGCAAGGGAUGAUCUCAAAGAAAAAGCAACUGAGAAAGAUGGCAAAGGACUAGAGGAUAUACUAGGUAAAGAAAACAUUGAUAUCAACGGGGUUGAUGCAGGCGACAUUAAUCUCAAAUCAUCAAUGAUGAUAGAAUCUCGCAAGAGAGAUCGUGGGCGACCUACCAACGCAAGAUCUAGGCCAGGCUAUGAAGUGAGCAAUCCAAGAACCAAGUUUUGUAAAAAUUGCAGGGGAAAGGGACACAACUCUGGGAAGUGCCCAACAAAUGACGGAUCAAACAAGAAGCAGAGGAAAGAACCAAAGUGCGGGAAGUGUGGCGUACUUGGACACAUCAGGACACAAUGCAACAGAACAUUUGAAUCAUGGUUUAGAUGA